rnacentral:rRNA from 1 species
GUACCAGACUCCUACGGGAGGCAGCAGUGGGGAAUAUUGCGCAAUGGGGGAAACCCUGAACCAGCAACGCCGCGCGAGGGAAGACGGUUUUCGGAUUGUAAACCUCUGUCCUCUGUGAAGAUGAUGACGGUAGCAGAGGAGGAAGCUCCGGCUAACUACGUGCCAGCAGCCGCGGUAAUACGUAGGGGGCAAGCGUUAUCCGGAUUUACUGGGUGUAAAGGGGGCGCAGACGGCGAUGCAAGCCAGGAGUGAAAGCCCGGGGCCCAACCCCGGGACUGCUCUUGGAACUGCGUGGCUGGAGUGCAGGAGGGGCAGGCGGAAUUCCUGGUGUAGCGGUGAAAUGCGUAGAUAUCAGGAGGAACACCGGUGGCGAAGGCGGCCUGCCGGACUGCAACUGACGUUGAGGCCCGAAAGCGUGGGGAGCAAACAGGAUUAGAUACCCUCGUAU